rnacentral:rRNA from 1 species
GACGAACCACCCAAACGUUAUUCGGAAUUACUGGGCUUAAAGGGUGCGUAGGCGGCGCGGAAAGUCAGAUGUGAAAUCCCUCGGCUUAACCGAGGAACUGCGUUUGAAACUACCGUGCUUGAGUAAGACAGAGGUAAGCGGAACUUCGGGUGGAGCGGUGAAAUGCGUAGAUAUUGGGAGGAACACCAGUUGCGAAGGCGGCUCUCUGGACUGUAACUGACGCUGAGGCACGAAAGCGUGGGGAGCGAACAGG